rnacentral:rRNA from 1 species
UACGUAGGGUGCAAGCGUUGUCCGGAAUUAUUGGGCGUAAAGAGCUCGUAGGCGGUUUGUCGCGUCGGAUGUGAAAAUCCAGGGCUUAACCCUGGACCUGCAUUCGAUACGGGCAGACUAGAGUUCGGUAGGGGAGACUGGAAUUCCUGGUGUAGCGGUGAAAUGCGCAGAUAUCAGGAGGAACACCGGUGGCGAAGGCGGGUCUCUGGGCCGAGACUGACGCUGAGGCGCGAAAGCGUGGGGAGCAAACAGG